CCGGGCCCUGACUCUCCCGCCCCCCCCCCCGGACCGGGUCCCCGGAGCUCCGGACGGUUCAGGCCUCGUGACCCUCCACCCCCGGGCUGGCCCCCCGCAGCGCCGGGCUGUUCAGGUCUCCUGAUCCCCACGCCUCCCGCCGGGCCCCCGCAGCGCCAGGCGGUUCAGACCUCCUGACCCCUGCGGCCAGGCUCUUUCCAAGUGUCUCUCUUUCCCCCCCUCUCCCCACGGAUUUUCAUGGAUUGGCUUUGAACAUAAGAACAGCCAGACUGGGUCAGAUCAAAGGUCCGCCUAGCCCAGUAUCUUGUCUGGUGACCCUGGCCGAAGCCCGGUGCCUGAGAAGAAAUGAACAGAGCAGCCCCCCUGCAGACCUUCAGAGAGCACUGCAACAGCUGGGAUCACAAUGAGGAAGAAUAGGAUAUCUUUGAGGAGAGAUUGCUGAUGGACAUAGCAAAAAAUAAAUACAAUUGCUUGUGACAUUCAUGGAGCAACUGCAGACUGUGGAGCAUUUCUUCUCGGCCUAAGAAACGAGCACUGACUGGUGCGAUCGCACGUAAUACAGACGUGGGACAAUGAGCAGUGGCUGCAGAACUUUUGGAUACAAAAGGCCACAUUCCUGGAUCUGUGUCAUGCUCACUCUAGCCCUCCAAUGCAGGGACAGAACGAGACCUCAUUGAUAGUGGAGAAGUGAGUGGUGAUCAUGGUCUGGAAGCUUACAGCGCUGGAUUGCGACUGCUCAGUGGGAAAUCACUCUGAAGUUAGAAAAUCCACAGUCGGGGGCCAUUGUCAUCCAGGUGUGUAAGGCCAUUGACUGCUGUGCAGGACUGUGACUCCCAGCAAUAUAUAAGAUAUGGUGGAUGGAUUUGCAAAAAUUGGGUUCCCAGCUGUGGUGGGGGAAGAGACAGAAUGCACAUCCCUAUCUUGGUGCCAGCCACCUUGCUACAGAACCCAUCGACAGAAAGGCCUACUUUUCGAUAGUUACGCGAGUGCUGUUGGAUCCCUGCGGAUGCUUCACUCAUAUCAGUGAAGGUUGCUCAGGGAAGGUGCAUGAUGCUUGCAUGUUUAAGAUCACAGAAUUGUUCAGAAAGCUGCAAGCAGGGACAUUUUUUCCUGGGUGGUUGAUUAACAUUGGUUAUGUGGAAAUGCUGACAGUGAUGCUGGGGGCCCAGCUGACCCCUUGAUCCAUGAAGCUGUACAUUGCCCACCUUGAUGGCACCAAGGAAAGAGUCUACUGCUGGCUCAGUAGGUGUGGAAUGACUGUUGAAUGAGCUUUGAAGGAGGAAUGGGGUCGCAGAGAGAAAAAAGAUUCCUAUCUUGCGCCAACAACAUAAAAGGGGAUGAAACAACAAAGGGAGCUGCAGUCAUGAAAAAUCCCCUAGCUACCACCUGAGCUGGAACAAGGCCUGUACCACAGGAAAGGAUUGGACCCAGUCUAAGAAGAAGUCUAGUCUGUGAAAGAAGCUUAUUGGAACAUCUCUGAGGGUGAGAUUUACCAGUAUUCAGAUUCUUAAAUGUGUUAGGCUUAGACUUGCAUAUUUUGUUUUAUUUUGCUUGGUAACUUAAGUUGUUCUGUCUCAUUACUUGAAAACACUUAAAUCCUACUUAUUAUACUUAAUAAAAAGUCACUUUUGUUUAUUAAUUAA